AGAUGCUUUGCUUUUGCAACCUUAGUUUCCUAUCAUGCUGCCUGUGAUCUGCCUUCAGAGACUCCUUUGUCCCUUUUCCAGGGUUCAUGCUGAUAACUGCUGCUUACCAAGGUGUCAUUUAAGUAUAUUUGAAUUUCAGAGUCAUUACUGUUUGUUAUUACAUCAAAAUAACCUAAGAAAUGCAGUUGUGUAACUGCUGCUGAAAUACAUUGCAUGCUGGACAUUAUGUUCAGUGCCGUCUUAAUUUGAAAAUCCCUUCUAUACAGCCUCCACUGUGCAUGAGCAAGGUGGUAGAGAAAUGUAAGCUGUUUCCAGUGUUUGCUGAAAGAGUUGCACACACUCUGGAUGUGCUGGUCUAGGGAGAGAAUCAGUCACUAAAAGAAAAUGUAAGGCAACAUUUUGUUUUUUAAAUUGAAAUAAUGCUCUUUUACAGAAAGAGAAGGAGCAAAAGGCCUUUUUUGCAAUACUGAAUGUACAAUAUCCGAUCACCGUACUUGUUCAGUGGCACAUGAAACAAGCAGAAGUAAUAGUACAGAUACUUUUAAGCUAAAUUAAAAAUAUGACUGAUUCAUUUCUCAUGUGGCAGCCAUUUUUAACCCCUCUUGCCUCAGUAGGUUUUAUAGGUUCUCCAGUAUAUGCUGCUUUAAUCAAAUGACUGUUUCACAUAAGCUUCAUAAAACAAGCCUGAAUUUACACACUUAUGGAGAGUCAGAGUUUAGAUUUCUUUUGUUUCUGCUCUCAAUUGAUAGUUUUUUUAGGUGUAGACCUUCUAUUGUGUAACUCAUGGAGCAGUAGGGUUUGUUUGCUCUGUAGUGUUUGGUCUUUAAUGGCACAGAAGCAGCUGUGUUGUGCAUGAUCAGCUCCAGUUUUCAUGUGACUUGAUGCACAGAUUUUUUGGCAACCACUCAGAAUGGACAGCAGAAGUUGUGACAAGCUCACCUGAAAGAAACUGGAAAAUAAUAAUAAAGGAAACUGUCAUUCCAAUUCCAUUUUUUCAACUCCUAUUUUAAGCAAAUGUGGAAUAGUGGGACUGUUUAUUAUUUAUUAUUUACUUGGCUUGCAGUCUGUCAGUUACAGUGACUAGGUUGACAUAAGUCAAGCAUAAAAAUAUGUCAGCAUCAGAAAAUUCAGUAUGAUCAAUAUUUCAAAAUGUUUAUUUAGUAAAUGAGGAACUGGUUAUCUGAAUUUUUCUUUGUCAUUUUGGAUCUAGGACCUCAUAGUCCUCACAUACUCUCAUCUUUGCAUCCUACAAGUGGGUUUGGGACCCAGAAGUGCUAUAAGACCUGCACCAAUAAACGAGUCCUGUGCUUAUCUGCUUUAGGCUGACUUAACUUUGUUUAUUAGAUUGUAUUUCAAAUACCAUCAAGAAACUCAUCUUGCCUCAAUGCUUAUGUUGAAUUCAUACAAAUUUACUAGAUUUUUUUAGAUAUAGGACCAAGCAGAGACUCAGAGUAGGUACAAAACAGUUUUUCAAAGAGUUAUAUUAGAGUAAAAAUGGGAUUUCUAUUUAUCAGAAGAAGAAAAAACCAAACACCCCUGUCUCCUGUCCCCUUUCUUCCUUGUGAGACAAUUGAGACAUAUGAAGUUUCACCAGCCCUGUAAUGUAGCACUGGAGUCAUGCUGAGAGCAUUCCUGAGAAGUGCAGGAAAUGGGCUGUGACACUUGAGUCCUACAGUUGCCAUUUCUGGGCAUCUGAAGCAGUAAUGAGCAUGUGGAGUGGAGAGGCAGCUGAAGCACAGCUGGAUUUAUGACAGAAGAGUCAAGGGUCUGCUGGUUUUGGCUUUCUCCAUAGGAUGCUGAGCUUGGGACUCAGUUUGUCUAACUUGGAUGCCCACAGCAUUUCUGGCUGUGCCAGUGCUAGUUGCACCAUGCUCCUGUGCAGCUGGUAAGGAGGAAGUGCUGUCAUGUGAGACAUCCUCUGCUGAUGGGAACCAGAGUGAGGUCAGAGCCCCCUGAAGCAUUCCUCUUCUCACAGCUAUAAGGAGGGAGAUUAAUCAAUAAACACAAGUGUUACUGGUUCCCAGCUUGUCUUUCAGGCACUAAGGCUUGCAUUUGAACAUGUGAAACGUUUAUGGAAGCAGCACUGAGCUACCUUUUAAGGCAGUUGUAUUUAUGUAGAAAUAAUGGUAAUUUUAACAAAACAUACUCUACAGCUACUGAAAUGUAGAUGCCUUCAUGCCUUAGUUUGCAAGACUUUAUGUCAUCUCAUACCACCACUCUGAUCUAACUCCAUUUUUUUACAAGGGAAAGUGAAAAAGCACAUUGUAGGCACUUCUAAAUAGGAUUGACUGCUUUAAAUAAGAUUGCAGUUACAAGUUGUUAGCUGAAUUGUAAUUGUAUGUGCUGAAACAUGACAAGGGUUCAUCGUUCUGCACUGGUUUCAAAAUGAGAAGUGAAACAUACACUUACUUGAACUCUUACAGCAGCAGAGUGAAAGGGAACUGUCUGGACAGUUACAGCUAUAGAAACUUCGCUGGAUCUGUUCUGUCCGGAACUCAGCUAGUGUUGCUACUGAGUGGACUUUGAGGGCAAUGGUUACCUGUGCAGGACUCCAGCAACAUUUCUUCUUCUUUGUAGUUAUUUGCAGGUUAAUAACUCAUGAAUUGGUUUGCCCUGUAAACCAGAUGAGAUAUUCCUGAGGUGCGUGCUGUUGUUUAACCCAGCAGGCAGCUAAGUACCAUGUGGCUGCCCGCUCAGUCCCCCUCGGCAGGGUGGAAAAGAGAAUUGACAAAGAUAAACGUGUGAGAAUUUCUGGGAUGAGAAAAGGACAGUUUAAUGUGAAAGAAAUAAGACAAAAUUAAAAAGAAAAAAGAAAGGUGAAGAAGGCAAUUGCUCAGCAGCAGCUGACCAGCACUCCACUGCAUACAGAGUGAGUGGCCAGAUCCUCCAGCUUUUAUUGCUGAGCAUGACACCCUUGGUAUGGAAUAUCGCUUUAGCCAGCUUAGGUCAGCUCCUGGUUUGGUUCUGUCCCAGUUCCCUGUGCCCCCUGGCCUCCUCAAUAGCAGAACAGUGUCAGAAGCAGAACCGUCCUUGAUUUGGUGCAGCACUGCUUGGUAACUAAAAAUGUUGGUGUUUUAUCAAUGUCAUUUUCAUCCUGAAUCCCAAACACAUCACUGUGUCAGAUGCUCUGAAGAAAAUUAACUCUAUCCCAGCCAAAACCAGGACAAUAUGGCAAGGUGCUAAUAUCACUGUCCAUGUGGAGCUAUACUACAGUCUUCUACAUAAUCCUCUACUGAGAAGGCUGGUUUCUCAUGGCUCCACUGGUGCUCAACUGCCGAGCUAGGAAUGACAGAGUGAGAGAUGAUUUUUAAUCACGAUGAGAAUGAAAUAUGCAUGGCAGUAUUUCUGUGAUUCGGUGAAAAAUCUGCAGGAGAACGUCCCCAUAGAAAAAUAAUUGUUUGUGGUGUGAUUUCAGUAGCCUAAUAAGAAGUUAGUGUUAUAUAUAUAAGAUCAGAAUAUAUAUAUAAGAUAUAUAUAAGAUCAGAUAUAU
ensembl:lncRNA